rnacentral:rRNA from 1 species
AACGUAGGAGACAAACGUUAUCCGGAGUUACUGGGCGUAAAGGGCGUGUAGGCGGUUAGUUAAGUCUGGCGUGAAAGCUCUCGGCUAAACCGGGAGAGGUCGUUGGAUACUGGCUGACUAGAGGACGGUAGAGGCGUGUGGAAUUCCGGGUGUAGCGGUGAAAUGCGUAGAGAUCCGGAGGAACACCAGUGGCGAAGGCGACACGCUGGGCCGUACCUGACGCUAAAGCGCGACAGCAUGGGGAGCAAACGGG